GACGAACGCUGGCGGCGUGCUUAACACAUGCCAGUCGAACGGAAAGGCCCUGCUUUUGUGGGGUGCUCGAGUGGCGAACGGGUGAGUAACACGUGUGUAACCUGCCCUUGACUUUGGGAUAACUUCAGGAAACUGGGGCUAAUACCGGAUAGGAGCUCCUGCUGCAUGGUGGGGGUUGGAAAGUUUCGGCGGUUGGGGAUGGACUCGCGGCUUAUCAGCUUGUUGGUGGGGUAGUGGCUUACCAAGGCUUUGACGGGUAGCCGGCCUGAGAGGGUGACCGGCCACAUUGGGACUGAGGUACGGCGCAGAAUCCUACGGGACGCAGCAGUGGGGAAUACUGCACAAUGGGCGGAAGCCUGAUGCAGCAACGCCGCGUGCGGGAUAACGGCCUUCGGGUUGUAAACCGCUUUCGAAUGUGACGAAGCGUGAGUGACGGUAAUGGGUAAAGAAGCACCGGCUAACUACGUG
rnacentral:rRNA from 1 species